CGGCCGCGUCGACGGCGGACGGGUGAGUAAUGCCUAGGAAUCUGCCUGGUAGUGGGGACGAACGUUACGUAAGGAACGACUAUACCGCAUACGUCCUACGGGAGGAAAGUAGGGGAGUCUUCGGUACCUCACGCUAUCAGAUGAGCCUAGGUCGGAUUACUGAUGUGAGGUAGAGCGACUGAUUGGAUGCGAGGGCUUCACCGCCUAUCAAGUCCUGACAAACUCCGAAUGCGCAUCAGUUUUACCCC
rnacentral:rRNA from 1 species